AUAUACCCAGAAAAAAGAACUAGACUGAGGAACCUGGCUUCAUUUCAGGCCCCAGAGCUGAGUCUCCCGUGAUCCCAAUAAGGAAGAAGAAUGGAGAAACUCCUGACCGUGUCUUUGGUGAUUCUGUGGCUUCAACUGGCCAGGGUGAAUAGCCGGCAAGGAGAAGAGAAUCUUCAGGGCCUGAGCAUCCAGGAGGGUGGAAAUGCCACCAUGAACUGCAGUUAUAAAACUACUAUAGACACCUUACACUGGUACAGACAGGAUUCAAAGAGAGGCUUUGCCCACCUGAUUUUAAUACGUUCAAAUGAGAGAGAGAAACGUAGUGGAAGACUGCGAGUCACGCUUGACAACUCCAUCAAGAGCAGUUCCCUGUCCAUCACGGCUUCCCAGGCUGCAGACACUGCUACUUACCUCUGUGCUACGGAGACACAGUGUGCACCAGGCAACUGCAGCCCCAACGCAAACCCUGCCAGAGCUGCCUCUUAGAAGCCGCGACAGUGUGUAGAGUUGGUGGUUAUGUCUUCCCACAAAGGAGAGUCUACAAACAGCUGGCAACAGGAAAGGGAGGCCUGUCAAAUUCCUGAUGUUUUUGACAGCAUGUUAGACUAAGGUAAAGGGCAUGAGAUUUAGAACGGGAAACUGAGAUACCAGCUUCAGCUCUGCCCAUCCUGGCUCUGUGUCCUUAGGCACAUCAUUGGUGUAGCAGCCUUCAGUUUCCUCACUUUAAACAAAGGAUUUGGACUGACGAGCCUAAAGACCCUUCAAGCUCUAAUUUUACCAGGUCACUUGUGGAGGAUGAGUAAGGACUUGUCAGUAUUAGAAGGUCUCAUCUGUUGUAUGUGCAGCCCCCUCAAGACUUAGGUGGGGCUUUGAGAUGCAUGAGAUGAUUUUUGCAUUUCUCUAAUUCCUGUAUAGGAAACAGUAGAUUCAUCAGACAUUAGAGUGAAAAAGGAUCUUAGGACUCUUUCAACAAAACUUUUCCUUUUAAGGCUGAGGAGUGAAAACGUUGUAUAAUAAUAGACACAAAGGUCUGAACCUUUGGAGUAGUAGAGACAAAGAUCUGAAUCUGAUUCUCCCAUUUACUAGUUGUGUGAUUUCCAAGCUUCAAUUUCUCCAUUAAAUAGAUGGGAAUUUAUC